GCCCGCGCGCUCCCCGCGUCGCGACAUGCGCUCGCCGCCGCGCUCUCUCUCCCCGCACAGGUAUGCCGGAGUUUACGAUGAACUAAUGUCACCGCCGCGUCGAAGUGUUGAGCCGCCGUUCGGAGCCAGGUACGAUUGUAAAAGAUUAAAUAUCGUCUCCACGUGCCUUUACGUCUGCGCCUAAGAUGAUGCGCUUGUUCUUUCACGUUAUUUGCCGAGCGGAUCGAACCUGUGUUUGAGACCAGUGUUUUAAAUGUAUAACCACGGACUUAUUUGAUUUAUACUUGUUUUUUAAAGUUUGAUUGUAAAGUUUGCGUUAUUGUAAACAACAUUAUUUUAAUGAAAAAAAGGUAUAUACUUUUUUGCACUUUAUAAGUGUGUUUGGUAAGUAUUAAGCAGAACUGUACGGAAAACGCACGAUGCUGAAGUUUGAAACACCGACUUCGGGUUUUCUACAAGACUGUGCUGUACUCUUCCUGAAGCUAUAUAUAAUUAUAAUUUUAGUAUUAAAAUAUUUCUCUAUGAGAAAUUGUUAUAAAAAUAAUAUAGUAUGAAAAUUGUAGUAUAAGAGUGAUAUUUAUUAAAUAGUAAUUAAUUUUAUUAAUAAUAAGACUGAUGAAUACUACUGUGAUAUUUAAAAA